rnacentral:rRNA from 1 species
UGCGUAGGUGGUAGUGUAUGUUGGAAGUGUAAUCCCUCGGGCUUAACUCAGGGGCUGCUUCCAAAACUACAUUGCUUGAGUAUCGGAGAGGAAAACGGAAUUCCUAGUGUAGCGGUGAAAUGCGUAGAUAUUAGGAGGAACACCAGAGGCGAAGGCGGUUUUCUGGACGAUAACUGACACUGAGGCACGAAAGCGUGGGGAGCGAUUG